rnacentral:rRNA from 1 species
GUGUCAGCCGCCGCGGUAAAACGUAGGUCCCGAGCGUUGUUCGGAUUCACUGGGUGUAAAGGGCGCGUAGGUGGUUGUCUGUGUCUCAUGUGAAAACUCAGGGCUCAACUCUGAGAUGGCGUGGGAAACUAGGCAGCUAGAGGACGGUAGAGGGGAGUGGAAUUCCCGGUGUAGCGGUAAAAUGCGUAGAUAUCGGGAGGAACACCGGUGGCGAAGGCGGCUUACUGGACAUUAACUGACGCUGAUGCGCGAAAGCUAGGGUAGCGAACCGGAUUAGAUACCCGGGUAGUCCUAGCCGUAAACGAUGGGUGCUAGGUGUUGGGGGGUAAAGACCCUUCAGUGCCGAAGCUAACGCGAUAAGCAUCCCACCUGGGGAGUACGGCCGCAAGGUUGAAACUCAAAUAAAUUGACGG